GACGAACGCUGGCGGCGUGCUUAACACACGCAAGUCGAACGGAAAGGCCCUGCUUUUGUGGGGUGCUCGAGUGGCGAACGGGUGAGUAACACGUGAGUAACCUGCCCUUGACUUUGGGAUAACUUCAGGAAACUGGGGCUAAUACCGGAUAUGAGCUCCUGCUGCAUGGUGGGGGUUGGAAAGUUUCGGCGGUUGGGGAUGGACUCGCGGCUUAUCAGCUUGUUGGUGGGGUAGUGGCUUACCAAGGCUUUGACGGGUAGCCGGCCUGAGAGGGUGACCGGCCACAUUGGGACUGAGAUACGGCCCAGACUCCUACGGGAGGCAGCAGUGGGGAAUAUUGCACAAUGGGCGGAAGCCUGAUGCAGCAACGCCGCGUGCGGGAUGACGGCCUUCGGGUUGUAAACCGCUUUCGCCUGUGACGAAGCGUGAGUGACGGUAAUGGGUAAAGAAGCAACGGCUAACUACGUG
rnacentral:rRNA from 1 species